CAGUCUCUUUAGCCGUUAGUCUGAUCCUGGAAAUUUAUGGUCAUAAUUUGAUGAGCAAUGUUGGGAAUGACUUCUUCCUUUUUUUUUUUUUUUUUUUGUUUUGAGACAGAGUCUCACUCUGUUGACCAGGCUGGAGUGUAGUGGGGCGAUCUCCGCUCACUGCAACCUCCACCCCAAUACUUUCAUUUUUAAAUAUUAUUUAUGGCAUCCAGAUUUGCAUAAGAUGGACUGGGUCAAUGGCCAUGCCCUUUAUAAAUCAAUAUUCUUAAGUUCUGCAAAUUCAGUUUCCUAAAGAGCCAAAUCACAUCCUACUCAUCAGCAAGGCGGGUAGACAUCAUUUUCACAAUCACUUCUAAUUUUCCACCAUUGUAAAAAAAAUAAAAUAUGUAAUCACUUUCUUAUUGUAAAAUAAAGAAUUUACUUUUCCAGGACCUACUGCCUCCCUGUUCCCCCCCUUUUUUUUUUUUUUCAAACAAUCUUGAACCCUUUGUCACGAGUCAGUUGCCAAGAGAAGCCUAUUUGUUGGUUUGAGAGCAGUUCAUACAGACACAGACCACUUCCUCUGAGAAUUCAUUUGCUUCCCCAGGAUGGAAUCUGGCUGGGCCUCUGACCUUGCUGGUCACGUGGGCCGGGGCCUCCAUCAGUCAUACCCUGGACUCCUAUCUGUGUCUAAACACCACGCCCCACCCCCAACUGCACGGCAGCCACUCGCAUAGCACUCUGGGAGGGCUGUGGGCAUGAGCAGCGAGGACUCCAUCAGCAGCUCCCCCACAUAAGCCCUGCUGAUGAGGGGGCUUGCGAAGCAGCUUUGAUGUGCUGGUAAAUCCAGGUGCAAAACAGAACUCAAGUUAAGGCCUCCGCACAGCACUGCGUUCUAACUGUGAAGGAUUCUUACUCUAGUGUCCUGUGUGGAGGUAUUGGAAUUGUCCAUUGCUAAGACUCAGAGGAGAAAAGCACUUAGCAUCGCAGGACUUGGAGCACCGGUGCUGAGGCAACCCUUCAUUCAUUCGUCGGAUGUGUGUUAAGGCCCAGGGCAGGGGUCAGGGAUUCUCCUCUCACACAGCACGUGGGUGGCAGGACCAACACCGGGUCUGACCUCCCAGCCGGGGGCACAGGCUGCUAACCCCAGGCCUGGAAUCUGUCAGAUGCCCUUCCCGUGCUGACUUGACUUAGACAGGCCUCCUGACCUUCCCACAAAGGUCAUGUGUGAUUCGCAGGGGUUCUGGCCGCUUGAAAGGUUCCUGAGAAAGUACAUGCAAUGAGGACAGAGCUUGCAGAGGGAGGACAGGCAUGCAGAAGGCUCUGUGUGCAGCCCCAGACCUGGGUACCUUCGUCACCGUCCUCACCCCACCUCCGGGUGCGCAGAUAGGGAGCAGGUCUCCUGUGUUAUGGCCCAAGCAGGGCUGUUAGGACACUGAGAACAUUCCCUCCUCCCGCAGGAGAGAGAGGUCCAAGGUGCCCUACAUCGUGCGUCAGUGCGUGGAGGAGAUCGAGCGCCGAGGCAUGGAGGAGGUGGGCAUCUACCGCAUGUCUGGGGUGGCCGCAGACAUCCAGGCACUGAAGGCAGGCUUCAACGUCAGUGAGUGUCGGCCUGCGCAGGACGGGAUGGAGGUGUGGGCAGUGGUGUCCACGAUGAGAUCUCAGAGUGCUCCAUGGCCCAGGCAUGUCACAUCCUUCUCUGUGUCUUUUCUUCAUUUACUGUUUUAUUAUUUUUAAAAAAGAGAAAACAAGAGUUGUACAAACAGCUUCUAUAGAAGCCAGUUUUUACACCAUCGUACCCACUCGUGCCACUUGGUGCAGUGGACCAGGGGCUUCUGCGGGGCCUUGGCCUUCCUGCCUUGGGGUUGGACAGGAGGUGGAAGCCCAGGACUCAGUGCGGUCUGUCCACUGCCCUGUAUGAGGAUGUGGUGGGCAGAGGGCACUGAUGAAAUUCAGCGCAGGCCGGGGCUGCAGCCUCUCCGCCUCCAUCUCACCAACCCUCACAGGCUUUGAAGGACCCGGACCUGCCUCAAAUGCCAGGGGAGGGCACUGAGACCCCAGAGGGUCCUUCCCAGCAUCUUCAAAGCAACAGGAUUUUGUGCCUGCAGAUCCUUCUUUGCAGCACACACCACCCACCCUGACCAGGACCCCUAGAAUGCCCAGCAUCCCUGGGAGGGCCCUGUGGUAGUUUCAGCUCCCUCUGAGGGCCCAGAAUGAACCUGGCCUGUGGUGAGGAUGUAAGCACCAAUGGCCAAUUGGGUCCAAAGGAAGACACCGGUUCAAACACUGAAACCAAUCAGAUUCUCCCACGGCCUUCCUGCUAUCAGAAGACACUGGUGCAGGGGUGGUUGCUAUGUACAGGGCAGAGCCACCCAAUCCCCACGCAGGCGCUGUGUCCUGCCAUGCUGGCCUCCUCCUGGCCAUCACAUCAGGCCAAGCAGGGGAGAGGAAUGGGAAUGCCCACGCACCCCUAUCAACUCUGCAGACACAGAACCAUGCACAGCUCUUGGGAGGAGUCAGAUGAGCUGCUCAAAGCCCAGGAGGGACCCACACAGUGGUCAGCAUGGCAGGGACGGUGCUUUAGCCAAGGCAGGGAUGGUGGGUGACUCACUCAGGAUCUUCAAGGAGGCCGCUGCAUUUCCGUGCUCUUUCCAGAUAACAAGGACGUGUCAGUGAUGAUGAGCGAGAUGGACGUGAACGCCAUCGCAGGCAUGCUGAAGCUGUACUUCCGUGAGCUGCCCGAGCCCCUCUUCACUGACGAGUUCUACCCCAACUUCGCAGAGGGCAUCGGUGAGCACUGGAGGCCUUGGCCUCAUGGGAGACGUCUCCUCCACGUGCACUGCUGCCCUCAGAGGCUGUGAAAAGUGAGGUGUGGGAACCCGAGCUGUGCUUCCUCUGCCAUGGUCGGAAUUUUAACCCAACCUCAAAAAGCAGGGGACCAAAACUGAGCCUAUCCUGGAAGGCCUUGCCCAUCCCCAGAGGGCUCCCCAUCCAUAUUUCUCAAGGAGGCCAAGUGGGUGAAAUGGUCAGCACUGCCGUGCUGUGGGGUCCUAAAG
ensembl:lncRNA novel transcript